rnacentral:rRNA from 1 species
UAACGACUCUCGGCAACGGAUAUCACGGCUCUCGCAUCGAUGAAGAACGUAGCGAAAUGCGAUACUUGGUGUGAAUUGCAGAAUCCCGUGAACCAUCGAGUCUUUGAACGCAAGUUGCGCCCGAAGCCGUUAGGCCGAGGGCACGUCUGCCUGGGCGUCUCG